rnacentral:rRNA from 1 species
ACAGAGAUGGCGAGCGUUACUCGGAUUUAUUGGGUGUAAAGGGCAGGCAGGUGUUUUACCAAGUUGUAAGUGAAAUCCUAAGGCUCAACCUUAGAACUGCUUACAAAACUGGUAAAAUUGAGACUAGAAGAGGAAAGCGGAAUUCCCGGUGUAAGGGUGAAAUCUGUAGAUAUCGGGAGGAACACCAGUGGCGAAAGCGGCUUUCUGGUCUAGUUCUGACGCUAAACUGCGAAAGCUCGGGGAGCAAACAG